AUUGAACGCUGGCGGCAGGCCUAACACAUGCAAGUCGAGCGAGCGGCGGACGGGUGGGUAAUGUCUGGGAAACUGCCUGAUGGAGGGGGAUAACUACUGGCAACGGUAGCUAAUACCGCAUACCAUCAGAUGUUCCCAGGUGGGAUUAGCUAGUAGGUGGGGUAACGGCUCACCUAGGCGACGAUCCCUAGCUGGGCUGAGAGGAUGACCAGCCACACUGGAACGUAGACACGGUCCAGACUCCUACGGGAGGCAGCAGUGGGGAAUAUUUCACAAUGGGCGAAAGCCUGAUGCAGCCAUGCCGCGUGUAUGAAGAAGGCCUUCGGGUUGUAAAGUACUUUCAGCGGGGAGGCGUUACCCGCAGAAGAAGCACCGGCUAACUCCGUGCCAGCAGCCGCGGUAAUUC
rnacentral:rRNA from 1 species